rnacentral:rRNA from 1 species
AUUGAACGCUGGCGGCAGGCCUAACACAUGCAAGUCGAGCGGAUGAAGGGAGCUUGCUCCUGGAUUCAGCGGCGGACGGGUGAGUAAUGCCUAGGAAUCUGCCUGGUCGUGGGGGAUAACGUCCGGAAACGGGCGCUAAUACCGCAUACGUUCUGAGGGAUAAAGUGGGGGAUCUUCGGACCUCACGCUAUCAGAUGAGCCUAGGUCGGAUUAGCUAGUUGGUGGGGUAAAGGCCUACCAAGGCGACGAUCCGUAACUGGUCUGAGAGGAUGAUCAGUCACACUGGAACUGAGACACGGUCCAGACUCCUACGGGAGGCAGCAGUGGGGAAUAUUGGACAAUGGGCGAAAGCCUGAUCCAGCCAUGCCGCGUGUGUGAAGAAGGUCUUCGGAUUGUAAAGCACGUUAAGUUGGGAGGAAGGGCAGUAAGUUAAUACCUUGAUGUUUUGACGUUACUAACAGAAUAAGCACCGGCUAACUUCGUG